GAUGAACGCUGGCGGCGUGCCUAAUACAUGCAAGUCGAGCGAACGGACGAGAAGCUUGCUUCUCUGAUGUUAGCGGCGGACGGGUGAGUAACACGUGGAUAACCUACCUAUAAGACUGGGAUAACUUCGGGAAACCGGAGCUAAUACCGGAUAAUAUUUUGAACCGCAUGGUUCAAAAGUGAAAGACGGUCUUGCUGUCAUUUAUAGAUGGAUCCGCGCUGCAUUAGCUAGUUGGUAAGGUAACGGCUUACCAAGGCAACGAUGCAUAGCCGACCUGAGAGGGUGAUCGGCCACACUGGAACUGAGACACGGUCCAGACUCCUACGGGAGGCAGCAGUAGGGAAUCUUCCGCAAUGGGCGAAAGCCUGACGGAGCAACGCCGCGUGAGUGAUGAAGGUCUUCGGAUCGUAAAACUCUGUUAUUAGGGAAGAACAUAUGUGUAAGUAACUGUGCACAUCUUGACGGUACCUAAUCAGAAAGCCACGGCUAACUACGUG
rnacentral:rRNA from 1 species